AAGCUUAGGCUAACCAAAAACCAGGAGCCUUCAAAGCCCCAAAUAGAAGUACCCACCCUCYU
rnacentral:tRNA from 1 species